rnacentral:rRNA from 1 species
UACGUAGGGUCCGAGCGUUGUCCGGAAUUAUUGGGCGUAAAGGGCUCGUAGGCGGUCCGUCACGUCGGGAGUGAAAACUCGGAGCUUAACUCCGAGCCUGCUUCCGAUACGGGCAGACUAGAGGUAGGCAGGGGAGAGCGGAACUCCUGGUGUAGCGGUGGAAUGCGCAGAUAUCAGGAGGAACACCGAUGGCGAAGGCAGGUCUCUGGGCAUUAACUGACGCUGAGGAGCGAAAGCGUGGGGAGCGAACAGG